rnacentral:rRNA from 1 species
CAAGAAUAUUAGUCAAUGCUCGCAAGAGUGAACUAGCUAACUGAAAUCUUAAUUUAUUUAAUUAUUAAGAUAAGGUAAGAGAAAAUAAUGAUAUUAUCUUACUAUUAGUGUCGUCUAAAUUUGGUGCCAGAAGACUCGGUAAGACCUUAGACACGAACGUUAAUCGUCAUAAUCAGGCGUAAAGGGUGUGUAGGCGGCUUUAAAAUAAUAAUUUAUUAUUUUUAUAAUAUUUUAUUAUUAAAAUUAAAGCUAGAAUCUAAAAGAGGGUAAGCUAAACAACAUAAUUAAUUAGGACUGACAACUUAUAAUAAUGUGGAGUACUAAAGGUUAAAGCUAUUUAUCUACUUAAGAUUGACGCUCAGAAACGAAGGGGAGAAUAAGAAACUUAGAUUAGAGACCUAAUUAUCUCUCUCAGUCAACGAUGAAUGGUAGUUAUUAAAAAUACAAAUAUAAUAUAAAAAUAUUAUAUAGAUAUUAGUAACGAGGUUAACACGAUGACCAUUCCGCCUUGUUAGUAAGACUGCAAAGUUGAAAACAAAAAAAUUAGUCGGUCUUGAAGCAAACGAAGUGAAGCAUGUUAUUUAAUUCGA